CCCAAGGUUCUUUUAUUUUGAGUUCGUAUUUCCGGUGACGGGUGAUUUUGUGGUUUGGGGCACAGAUCUAGCAAUCUAGCAAUGGCAGAUUCAUGUUAUUUGGGUUUUAAGGUUGUUGAGGACUAAUGAGGCGAUUCCAUGUGAUGGGUAUGGAAAGGCUACUCUGUUAAGAAAGGUCUUAAUUAUGCCUUAAAAAGAAGGAAGCCUGCCACCGAUUUAACAAGAGAAAAUCUGCAAAGUGGCGAGUGGAAGGACUUGCAGUUUAAAGAGUGUAAUUUUCACGCUAAAGGUGAGGCGACAAAUGCAGAUGAUUUUUCUUCAGAUGGGAUUUGAGGAGAUGCCUACAAAUAAUUAUGUUGAAAGCAGCAGCUUCUGGAAUUUUGAUGCACUUUUCCAACCGCAACAGCACCCUGCCCGUGAUUCACACGAUGCAUAUUUCUUAAAAGGCAUGCUCAAAGUUUAUAUUUGUGUCAGGUUUAUAAUUUACUCUAAUGGGUGACGUGGCAAUGGUAUAUGCAGAAUGUAGGAUUAAUCUUGACGUUUCGGGUUCGGGUCAUGGAUACGGGUCGGAAAUGGAGCUUCUUGGGUCAAAUGGGUUGCAUAAUUUUAGUUAAUUAGUCACAUGUUUUUAUUGGUUUAAUUAGAACGUGGGUUAGUGUUUGUUAGUUGAGUCAAAUAAUGGAGAAGUGGUCAUAGUCGGUUAGUAUUUUCCUUUAUUUACGUUUGCAUGAAUCUCUCUCUCUCUCUCUCUCUCUAUAUAUAUAUAUAUAUAUAUAUAUAUAUAUAUAUAUAUAUAUAUUAAACUUUCAGAAUGAAUAAAGUGUGUGUUUUCAAGCAGAAAUAAUUAUCUUGUUCGUGAGUUUCUUUGAGUGUAAUUGAAGCUUAAACCCAACAUUUGGUAUCAGAGCUAUAGGCUCGUACCGUGGGAUUGGUGAGGUUAAGAAAGAGGGCAGGUUUGAGAGUCGAUUUUUAGAGAAGAAGGGAGCAGUCCCUUUAAACUGCGGAAGAAAAAAUCAAGAGAAAUAGACGCAUCAAAAUUAAUAGAGAUCAAAGAAAAGAAAGGAGAAAGUUCUGAGUGAGCUGUAGAGGAAGAAGGCAAGAUCGAUUAUUUUAAUCGAAAUUAGGAGCGGAGGUUCUGUGUGAACCGAACAUGGUUCUAAGUGCGCCGUGCGGAGACGAAAUCGAGACUUGAAACGAGUUCUUAGUGAGCCGGGAGAAGAUGAGGAAGAAGAUGAUCAAUGUGAUUACAGAAGGGUUCUGUGUGAGCCGCCUUGAUGGUGACAGUAGCUUAAGGUAGACAGAACAUCAGCAACACAAGCUCCAUCAAAUCUUACUUGUACGUUAAAACUGAAUGAUGCAUGAACGCAAGAGUUUUUGUUUGUUUUGAUGGUGAAGACAGCCGAGAGCUAUGUGAAGUUCGAUCUUGUGAAGCCGAUUAAAGGAAAAGAAGGUGAUUUGUAUUUGUACAUGUACAAGACCGGAGUGAUCUGUGUGAGACAAGCUAGCCACUGGUAUAAAGCUCGAAACGAAUUGGUGAGUGCAAAGAAUGAAAUCUGCGUGAUUUUCUUGAUCAGCCGGGAAAAAAAAAAUUGUGUGGAGACGUGUGGUGUGGUUAAAGGAACCUGUGUGGUUCAGCGAUUUCAAGUGAAGAAGGUUCAUGGGUGGUUCAAGAAAGUUAGCAAGAAAAAAGAGAAAGUAACGGGUCAAGAUUAAGGGGGUGGCAUUGAUAACAUCCGAGAUCUCUUCGGUCACAAGGUGGAUCUUGGCCUCAUUAAGAGUAACCCUAUAUGUUGUAUUGGCUUAUAAUACAAAUGCUAGGAUGAAUGGCCGGUUAAAAAAACAUUAACUAUCAGUUCUUGAUUUUGGCUCCAUAAUGUGCUAUAUUUGCAGUCUGAUCCAAACCUUGGUUUAAAAAAGCGUGAAGCGCUCCGAAGCGUUUUGGUUCCAAAAGCUUUAAGCGCGAGGCGAGAGCUUCACGUAUACGAAGCGCUCAAAAUAAAAAAAAUAAAAAAAAUAUUGUAUAUAUCAAUAUGACCUACUCUACUUGUUAAUCAAUAAUAAACACAAAAACAUGAUUAAAAAGCACACUUAACACAUAAAAAACAUGGUUACAACAUAAAUUAAAGUCGAAACACACUUAAAACAUAAACAUAAAAAUAGUCUUUUCCGAUGAGAAGGACUUUUCCGAGGCAGCAGUAGUGUUGUUUGAUCCUGAGACCAAUAUGAUUUCUAAACAGAAAUCAAGUUGACAGCAGCAGCAGCGAAGAAGAAGCAGGCAGCAAUGAAGAAGAAGCAGGCAGCAGCAGCAGCGUGAAGAAGAAGAAGCAGCAGCCAGCGUGAUUUUUUUAGGGUUUAGACUUAAUAGAAUCUGUUUUUAAAAGCAGGUCGCAGGUGGGCUUUUUUCUUGGGUAUAUAUUCUUUAAAUUAGGCCCAUGUUGGUGGGCUUUUUAAUUAUACAACAAACAUUAUAAAACCAGCCCAGAAUGGCGCCUCAGCCGCCUAACGCCUCGAAAUUCUAGCGCUUUAAGCCCGCUUCAUAGCGCCUCAUGUACUUUAACGCUUUAUGUGAAAAAAGCGUUUUUAUGGGCGCCUCGGGCGCCUCACGCCUUAAGCACGCCUUAAGCUCGCUUUUUUAAACCAAGAUCCAAACAUAAAGAGUUUCAGUCUUUGGCUGCUACUGUUCCUGUUUAUGCAAGACCAAUGGAUGAUGGGAUUUAUCGUGCCGUUGAUAUAUACCUCAAAGUAAGAAGUAGCUCAGAACUAAAGUUGGAAAUAUGGACGAGUUGGGUAACAAGUCAAAAUCGGGUAAUUUCUGGGAUAGGCCAGAUAACAAUAAACAGGCCAGAGAGGAGAUAUGCAUUCCGACCGCAUAUAAUUAAGGAACUAAUUUGCGCUUGCUACUCAAAUUAACCUAAACUAACACUUUUCCAACCUCAUUCAUUAUGAACCCUUCUUCUUUUUCACUUUUUCACAGGUGGGUUCUCUGUCUUUGCUGGGGUGUUGGAGAACGUACCCGAGAAGAGCGAGAGCAAGUGUGCUCUUGUGUACGGUCAAAUGAACGAACCCCCAGGUGCCCGUGCUCGUGGCAGUUUCCAGG